rnacentral:rRNA from 1 species
UACAGAGGGUGCGAGCGUUGUUCGGAAUUACUGGGCGUAAAGCGCGCGCAGGCGGCCCUUUAAGUCCGUCGGUCAAAUGCCGGGGCUCAACCCCGCUGCAUGCCGAGGAUACUGGAGGGCUGGAGACACGUAGAGGCAAGCGGAAUUCCUGGUGUAGCAGUGAAAUGCGUAGAUAUCAGGAGGAAUACCGAUGGCGAAGGCAGGUCUCUGGGCUGACACUGACGCUCAUGCACGAAAGCGUGGGGAGCAAACAGG